ensembl:lncRNA
UUUUUUUUUUUUCUUUUUUUGAGAGCUGUCUCUUAUAACUAGAAGUUCAAGAACUGUUGGCUGUUCAAACAGGAUUGGUUUCAGACAGUGGUAGAAGUGGCAAAAAUAAUUCUGCAAACACAACUCACAGUGUACACAUUACACACAAUUCAUUUUCUAAAUGGUUUUUUGUUUGUAUUUUCUUUGCUUUUGUGUUUUGGCCAUGCCCAUGGCAUACAACAGUUCCCAGGCCAGGUAUUUGAUGGAUUUAUAAAUACACGUUGCCUCCCAGGUUUAAAACAGGAGUUAAUUCUGAUACAAGUUUCUUGCCCACCUACCCCCUUUGAUGUUGGUAAAUUGUUAAGUGAGCAUUCGGGUAAUAUAAUGCAAAGUUAAUAACAGGUCUAUAAUUAACACACACUCCUAAGUGCACUCUAAAAACAGGGUACCAAGGAAAGUCCUCGUAUUAGGCAAUGUGAUCAAGAAUUAAUUGGUUAAUGUCUAUAUAGCCCAACUAUAUAUAAAUAAACUGUAUGAUUAUUAUAAUUAUGGAGAGUACUGUUCAAAAUCCACUUCAAGUUCAAAGAAUAGUAAUUUAUACAUCUAAGUAUAGACGCAAAUAUUUAACUGUAUAAAAAUACUUAUUUUAAUGCCAUUCCAAAUGUUUAAUAAGUAUUACUCAUCUCUGAAGUUUUGCUUUUUUUUCUUAAUAAAAGGUCUGAGAUGAUGCAAAAAACCCUCAUAAUUCCCUUGCUGCCAUUAAUAACAUAAUUUCAACGUUAUCUUAAUUUUGGAGGGAAAAUUUGGUCAUAGGAAAGGAAGAAAGUUUGGUGUUACACACAGAAACUUCCAUAUUAAUCACAGUGCAUACUGGUGGAUGGUUAAAGAGAAGGUGAUUUAAAUUUCCUCAAAGCUAAGGGUACAUGCAGGAGAGAACAAGAAGUUGGGUUCCUAGCCGCCAAGAUGACAAAAUGAAUACAUGGUAAGUUGUAAAGAUCAUAAUAUACCAAACCAGAUUUUUUUGAGGGAAUUCAGGAAGAUCAUUUGUCACUUGAUCUGGGCCAUGAAGAAUGAAUAUCACAGUUCACUAGGCAGCGAAAAUUGAGAUUGGGGAGAGGGAGAAAGCCAAGCUUGAGUCUCCACAUACACAUGCCUGGUGUAUUCAAAGGAAGUGUGGAGAGGAGCUGAUGGAUGGAAAGUAGGUAGAGACCUAAUGAAAGUCAGUGAGACUAAUCUUAAAGGAUCUUGAAUAAUUUGCUGAUCAACUUGGACUUGUUUUCUAAAUCACUGAGAAUUUUAGAGUGGGAGGUGGGAGAAGCCCAUUUGGAUCCACGUAUUAGAAGAGAUUUUAUCCCAUCUGCUCUUUACCCUGCUCAAAGCUUGUUUCUUUUCUUAUUGUAGUAUAGUUGAUUUACAAUGCUCUGUUAAUUUCUGCUGUGCAAAAAGUGAUUCAGUUAUACUGAUAUGUUUUGUUGGGUCUUUUUGUCCUUUUAGGGCUGUUUCCAUGGCACAAGGAAGUUCCCUAGCUAGGCCUACACCACAGCCACAGCAAUGUCAGAUCUGAGCUGCAUCUGUGACCCAUACCACAGCUCAUGGCAACGCUGGUUCCUUAACCCACUGAGCGAGGCCAGGGAGCAAACCUGUGUCCCCAUGGAUACUAGUCGGGUUUGUUACCACUGAGCCACAAUGGGAACUCUCAAUAUGUAGAUUCUUUUUCAUAUUCUUUCUCAUUAUGGUUUAUCACAUAUAGCUAUAGUGAAUAUAGUUCCCUGUGCUAUUGCAGUAGGACCCUGUGAUUUAUUCAUUCUAUAUAGAAUAGUUUGCAUCUGCAAAGCUUGUGAGUUUUAAAUUUUCAUUUCUAACAGUUAUUAACCAGGGAAUUUCAAUAAAAGCUCAGAAUUCCAGAUUAUUUUGAAAAAAAAAAAUCAAAAGACCUGGCAAUGGUGGACCAGUUAUUCUAAAUGGUGACAGUUGGUCAGAGCCAAGGGAGGUGGCUCACUCCAGAUGGCACAUGUGCUGUCCAGUGGCCCAGGUGCUUCUUCUAUCCGCCUCGUUCAUAUCACCUGCCUAGGGGCACUAAACAUUUGGGUUUGUGCCUUCUCUUUUAAAAAGAUGCCCUCUUUCAACAGUAAGCAUCUUUCUAACUUUGCAAGCAACAUAGAUUAACAUCCACAAGUUAAUUUAUACUGAUGAUCUCUGGCUUCUUUUGCUAGUUUACUUUACUCCAUUUUUCUGCCUCUCAUGCCGGUGAGGUGUUCCAUUUAUAUCUUUAUUAAAAAGUGAAGAUAAGUACCUUUAAGUAAAAGGUAUUUGGGUUGAAAAUGUGGAAGUCACGUGUGAGGGGCCCACAGUGAACAUGAGGUGAAGAACGUGCUCGCUGGCAGGAUUUCUCAACCUCAGCACUAUUGACAUUUAGGGCUGGAUAAUUAUUUACCUUGGGAAGCUGCCCUGGACAUUGUAGAAUGUUUAGCAGCAUCCCUGGCCUCUACCCACUGGAUGCUGGUGGCGCUUUCCAGUUGUGAUAAUCAAACGUGUCUCCAGACAUUGACACAUGUCCCCUAGGGGAUCAAAUUCACUUCCAGUUGAGAACUGCUGCUCUGUGGGGAAGAGAGUUUCCAGGAAAAUAAUCUCUGGGUAGAAGAGUCAUGUUCUGCUGGAAAAUGGACAGUCUGAUGCCUUGUAUCUGUUCCGUUACUUUUUUUUUUUUCCCCAGGGCUGCACCUGCAGCAAAUGGAAGUUCCCAGGCCAGGGGUCUAAUCGGAGCUGCAGCUGCUGGGAUCUGCCACAGUCACAGCAAUGCGGGAUCCUUAACCCACCGAGCGAGGCCAGGGAUCGAACCCAAAUCCUCAUGGAUAUUAGGUUUGUAACGCACUGAGGCACAAUGGGAACUCCUGGCUCCUGCUGUUACUGCUGCCCUGAGCAUCCUUCCAUUCUGCCCAAACUUGUCCCACCCGCAGGGAGGCAGAGUGGCCAGGCAGCCUCAGGUAGUGAUGCCAAAAUAGGCCCCAAAGGCCUCUCCUAACCUGCGAGAACCUUCAAACCCCUCCAAGAGGCAGCGGAGCAGUGAAGACUCCUCUUCCUCUGCUCUCCAUUAUUGAUGUAGUUCAGGGAAAGAAGCCAGGAACUUGCAUGAUUUACUCUCAAGACCCAAACCUCCCCGUUCACACAUCCUGGCCAAGUGUGGUGUCAGAAUAUACCUCUGAAGACAGAUGAGACAGGAGGGGGCAUGUCCAUUCUGGGUGUCCCUGCAGAGAACAGGGUUUUUGGGUGGGAGUGGCCAGGUACAGCUCUCAGGACACAUCAGCCCACUUCCAGGGUCUCCCUAUCCUCCAACUCGAAGGCCUUUGACUCAGAGCUCACUUAUCUGACUGCCUCCUUCAUUUUUCCUGACAUUUAAGUUUAUCUUGAAUCGAAGCAUUAUUUUUCUAUUAGCAACCCAUUAGGAUGUUUUCCGUGCCUUCCUCAUGUGAGUAAAAACAGAUUCGCUUCUUUUGUAGGGGAAGAGAGGGCAACUGUUGAAUGACAAAGCCAAGAGGUAGGUAAAAGUUGACAGAAGAGCUGCGAUAUUUUUCAUAUGGAUUUCAGGUUGGAAUGGUUUUGAACUAAGAUAAAAAAAUAUCAAGGUAUUUUUGCUAUGGUAUUUCUUGGAGUGUAAAAUAGGUAGGUUGAUGAUACUUUACAAAGUCCUACUUUUGUGGUUAGUGCUUUUCACACUUCUUUCUUCUGGCAUCUAGAAUCUAAUCAUUUCUCUCUGGGGAGAGGAGCUAUAUAGAAAAAAUUGGUUGAAUUAAACUAUUCAGUGAACGUGGCUUGUUCCUCUUGCAUUCCUUCUUAAAGGCAACCAAAGGCUCCAUUUUUUAAAACUAAAUUCAAGUCUUCUUCCAAUGUUUAGCAAAUAGGGAAUAGAUGCUUAAUAUGGCUUGACUCAUGACAACAGGGAUUAUUCUGGUCUUCAUGAUCAUGUGGUGGAGGGGUAAUGGGUAAAAGUAAAAACAGGACAACAGCAAAGAUAAAUGACAAUUGGUCUUCUCAUUCGGUAAACAAUGAGUAAAUGAAAUAGCAGUCACCUCUGCAAACAGAGAUCAUGCUUAUCGUAAGGACAGUCCGAAAGGAUGAGCCGGCUUGAACAGGGGGAGGAUGAACAAUGCAGGGGUAAGAGAGGGACAAGGACAAGGAGGGUUUUGAGUAAGUUAAACCUCCUGGUGACAAAGAGGGACAGAGAGCAAGGCUGGGCAGCUGAAACAUCCUUUUAUUCACAAAUCAAUGGAAACUAUUCAAGCCGACAAGGUUUGAUUUAGCAGAUAUUAACUGCAGCUAAAGAGAUGCAAAUACGUCAGCGAAUGGAGAGUAAGAUAAACAGGAGAAACCCACACUGGCUAGAAAAGGAGAAGAGAACAGAGACUGACAUUUAGAGACCAGAUUAAAAGGACAGGAAAAACUAGGGAAAAGUAAGAUGAUGUAAAAGUGACAUCCUUAAGACGAAGGGAGGUGAAGGGAACAGAUCCAGCACAACCCUUGCAUAUCAGACUCUGAGAAAAGAGAGAGGAUAACUGAGCAUGGACCACAGGUCACACGAAUGCAGCACAGGCACUCGAUAACCAUUUGUUGAAUAACGAAACAUUUACACAAAGUUCCUUCCUUGCUGGAUAUGAUGACUCGUUAUGAUUUUAUACAGUAUUGACUUAAUAAGCUUUUGCCCUUUGGAGAUGGUGAAAACCACGGACGGUUUUUAAUGAUUUUAAAACAUCUAUCUAUUUAGAGAAAUUUCUAUGAGCCUCAUCUCGUACCCUUGACGCUGGUCCUGUCAUAGAUUCAAUUAGAAGGUCAUGCUACAGUAGCUGGAGCACUGGACUGACAGACAGGAGACCGAGAUUCCAAAAUUGGCUUUGCUGGGAAGUGGCUGACGCAGGGCCAGCCACUUAACCUUUCUGAGUUUCUGUUUCCUCUGGAGUAAGGAGAGUGGCCCAGAUGAGAUAACCCUCAGGACCCUCCUGUGAUCCUCCACACACCAUCCAGCCCAUUACCAUGGUAAUCACGUCUUUGACUGUUUCUUUCCUGCCUCAUCUGUCCUGGGUUGAGUGACAGAUAAAAGUCCUCUUUUCUAUACUCUCCUCAUCUUGCCUGCUUGUGGCUUGUCAACAGUACUUUAUAUAAUCAAUUCUGGAAAUGUUUACCCAUCUGCAUUAUCUGAGGGUUGUUAUUUACUGUUCCUCUUAUUUUUUUUCCCCUUGGGGAGGAAUUUCGAUGUCUCUCUCACAGAGAGACCACAGCAAACAACAAGGAUAGAUUUUCACAAUACUCAGCAGUACAUGUGAAUUGGUUUCCUGUGUUUUUCUGUGUUUUCAAGCCUGGGUCUUCUCUGUGCUGUUACUCUUAGCUGGAAUUAAUUUUUGUCCCUUUUCUAGGAAAAUAUAAAUAAUUACGCAGUCAGUCUUUUGGAUAAAAAUGUAUGGCUUCAUUACCAAAGAGUUAAAUAGAUCUAACACAUCGCUUACAGCACUCUCUGAUAUAAUAACAUUCCAUGUAAACUCUCU